rnacentral:rRNA from 1 species
CUCGUGUCACGGGAUGAACGCUGGCGGCGUGCCUAACACAUGACAAGUCGAACGGGGGAUAUAUUGGAAUGAGGAUUCGUCUGAAGGAAAAUGUAUCUUAGUGGCGGACGGGUGAGUAACGCGUGGGCAACCUACCGUAUACAGGGGGAUAACACUUAGAAAUAGGUGCUAGUACCGCAUAAGCGCACAGCAGUGCAUACUGGAGUGUGAAAAGCCGAGACGGUAUACGAUGGGCCCGCGUCUGAUUAGCCAGUUGCAGGGUAACGGCCUACCAAAGCGACGAUCAGUAGCCGGCCUGAGAGGGCGGACGGCCACAGUUGGGACUGAGACACGGCCCAGACUCCGUACGGGAGGCAGCAGGUGGGGGAUAUUGCACAUGGGGGAACCCUGAUGCAGCGACGCCGCGUGAGUGAAGAAGUAAUUCGUUAUGUAAAGCUCUAUCAGCAGGGAAGAAUAAAUGACGGUACCUGAGUAAGAAGCCCCGGCUAACUACGUG